rnacentral:rRNA from 1 species
AAGACCCCGUGAACCUUUACUAUAGCUUGACACUGAACACUGGUCCUUGAUGUGCAGGAUAGGUGGGAGGCUUUGAAGUGUGGACGCCAGUCUGCAUGGAGCCGUCCUUGAAAUACCACCCUUUAAUGGCUGGUGUUCUAACGUAGACCCGUGAACCGGGUUGCGGACAGUGUCUGGUGGGUAGUUUGACUGGGGCGGUCUCCUCCUAAAGCGUAACGGAGGAGCACGAAGGUUGGCUAAUCCUGGUCGGACAUCAGGAGGUUAGUGCAAUGGCAUAAGCCAGCUUGACUGCGAGCGUGACGGCGCGAGCAGGUGCGAAAGCAGGUCAUAGUGAUCCGGUGGUUCUGAAUGGAAGGGCCAUCGCUCAACGGAUAAAAGGUACUCCGGGGAUAACAGGCUGAUACCGCCCAAGAGUUCAUAUCGACGGCGGUGUUUGGCACCUCGAUGUCGGCUCAUCACAUCCUGGGGCUGAAGUAGGUCCCAAGGGUAUGGCUGUUCGCCAUUUAAAGUGGUACGCGAGCUGGGUUUAGAACGUCGUGAGACAGUUCGGUCCCUAUCUGCCGUGGGCGCUGGAGAACUGAGGGGGGCUGCUCCUAGUACGAGAGGACCGGAGUGGACGCAUCACUGGUGUUCGGGUUGUCAUGCCAAUGGCACUGCCCGGUAGCUAAAUGCGGAAGAGAUAAGUGCUGAAAGCAUCUAAGCACGAAACUUGCCCCGAGAUGAGUUCUCCCUGAGACUACAAGUCUCCUGAAGGAACGUUGAAGACGACGACGUUGAUAGGCCGGGUGUGUAAGCGCAGCGAUGCGUUGAGCUAACCGGUACUAAUGAACCGUGAGGCUUAACCUUACA